rnacentral:rRNA from 1 species
UACGGAGGGUGCGAGCGUUGUCCGGAAUCACUGGGCGUAAAGGGCGCGUAGGCGGUCUGCUAAGCGUGUGGUGAAAGCUCGGGGCUCAACCCCGAGUCUGCCAUGCGAACUGGUGGACUUGAGCACUGUAGAGGCAGGUGGAAUUCCGGGUGUAGCGGUGGAAUGCGUAGAGAUCCGGAAGAACACCAGGUGGCGAAGGCGGCUGCUGG